rnacentral:rRNA from 1 species
AACCCGGGGAACUGAAACAUCUAAGUACCCGGAGGAAAAGAAAUCAACCGAGAUUCCCCUAGUAGCGGCGAGCGAACGGGGAACAGCCCUUAAGCCUUUUUAAUGUUAGCAAAACAUACUGGAAAGUAUGGCCAUAGUGGGUGAUAGCCCCGUAUGCGAAAACAUUUUAAAGGUGAAAUCGAGUAGGACGGGACACGUGAUAUCCUGUCUGAAUAUGGGGGGACCAUCCUCCAAGGCUAAAUACUCCUGACUGACCGAUAGUGAACCAGUACCGUGAGGGAAAGGCGAAAAGAACCCCUGUGAGGGGAGUGAAAUAGAACCUGAAACCGUGUACGUACAAGCAGUGGGAGCGGUCCUUGAGACCGUGACUGCGUACCUUUUGUAUAAUGGGUCAGCGACUUAAUUUUAGUAGCAAGGUUAACCGUUUAGGGGAGCCGUAGGGAAACCGAGUCUUAAUAGGGCGUGCAGUUGCUAGGAUUAGACCCGAAACCGAGCGAUCUAUCCAUGGGCAGGUUGAAGGUUGAGUAACAUCAACUGGAGGACCGAACCGACUACCGUUGAAAAGUUAGCGGAUGACCUGUGGAUCGGAGUGAAAGGCUAAUCAAGCUCGGAGAUAGCUGGUUCUCCUCGAAAGCUAUUUAGGUAGCGCCUCGUGUCUCACCAUUGGGGGUAGAGCACUGUUUCGGCUAGGGGGUCAUCCCGACUUACCAACCCGAUGCAAACUCCGAAUACCAAUGAGUGCAAUCACGGGAGACACACGGCGGGUGCUAACGUCCGUCGUGAAAAGGGAAACAACCCAGACCGUCAGCUAAGGUCCCAAAGUUAUGGUUAAGUGGGAAACGAUGUGGGAAGGCUUAGACAGCUAGGAGGUUGGCUUAGAAGCAGCCACCCUUUAAAGAAAGCGUAAUAGCUCACUAGUCGAGUCGGCCUGCGCGGAAGAUAUAACGGGGCUCAAACCAUACACCGAAGCUACGGAUGCCACUUGUGGCAUGGUAGAGGAGCGUUCUGUAAGCCGUUGAAGGGAAAGCUGUAAGGCAUCCUGGAGGUAUCAGAAGUGCGAAUGCUGACAUGAGUAACGAUAAGGGGAGUGAAAAACUCCCCCGCCGGAAGACCAAGGGUUCCUAUCCAAUGCUAAUCAGGGUAGGGUGAGUCGACCCCUAAGGCGAGGCUGAAGAGCGUAGUCGAUGGGAAACAGGUUAAUAUUCCUGUACUUUUUGUUAUUGCGACGGAGUGACGGAGAAGGCUAGGCCAGCACGGCGUUGGUUGUCCGUGUUUAAGGUUGUAGGUUUAGGACUUAGGAAAAUCCGGGUCCUUUUAAGACUGAGAAUUGAUGACGAACCCUCUUUUGGGUGAAGUGGUUGAUGCCAUGCUUCCAGGAAAAACUUCUAAGCUUCAGAUAACAAGAAAUCGUACCCCAAACCGACACAGGUGGUCAGGUAGAGAAUACCAAGGCGCUUGAGAGAACUCGGGUGAAGGAACUAGGCAAAAUGGUACCGUAACUUCGGGAGAAGGUACGCCGAUGUGGGUGAUAGGACUUGCUCCUUAAGCU